rnacentral:rRNA from 1 species
ACGCUGGCGGCGUGCCUAAUACAUGCAAGUAGAACGCUGAAGAGAGGAGCUUGCUCUUCUUGGAUGAGUUGCGAACGGGUGAGUAACGCGUAGGUAACCUGCCUUGUAGCGGGGGAUAACUAUUGGAAACGAUAGCUAAUACCGCAUAACAAUGGAUGACACAUGUCAUUUAUUUGAAAGGGGCAAUUGCUCCACUACAAGAUGGACCUGCGUUGUAUUAGCUAGUAGGUGAGGUAACGGCUCACCUAGGCGACGAUACAUAGCCGACCUGAGAGGGUGAUCGGCCACACUGGGACUGAGACACGGCCCAGACUCCUACGGGAGGCAGCAGUAGGGAAUCUUCGGCAAUGGGGGCAACCCUGACCGAGCAACGCCGCGUGAGUGAAGAAGGUUUUCGGAUCGUAAAGCUCUGUUGUAAGUCAAGAACGAGUGUGAGAGUGGAAAGUUCACACUGUGACGGUAGCUUACCAGAAAGGGACGGCUAACUACGUGCCAGCAGCCGCGGUAAUACGUAGGUCCCGAGCGUUGUCCGGAUUUAUUGGGCGUAAAGCGAGCGCAGGCGGUUUGAUAAGUCUGAAGUUAAAGGCUGUGGCUCAACCAUAGUUCGCUUUGGAAACUGUCAAACUUGAGUGCAGAAGGGGAGAGUGGAAUUCCAUGUGUAGCGGUGAAAUGCGUAGAUAUAUGGAGGAACACCGGUGGCGAAAGCGGCUCUCUGGUCUGUAACUGACGCUGAGGCUCGAAAGCGUGGGGAGCGAACAGGAUUAGAUACCCUGGUAGUCCACGCCGUAAACGAUGAGUGCUAGGUGUUGGAUCCUUUCCGGGAUUCAGUGCCGCAGCUAACGCAUUAAGCACUCCGCCUGGGGAGUACGACCGCAAGGUUGAAACUCAAAGGAAUUGACGGGGGCCCGCACAAGCGGUGG